GUGAACGCUGGCGGUAGGCCUCACCCCUGCCAGUCGCACGGCAGCACAGUAAGAGCUUGCUCUUACGGGUGGCGAGUGGCGGACGGGUGAGGAAUACAUCGGAAUCUACUUUUUCGUGGGGGAUAACGUAGGGAAACUUACGCUAAUACCGCAUACGACCUACGGGUGAAAGCAGGGGAUCUUCGGACCUUGCGCGAUUGAAUGAGCCGAUGUCGGAUUAGCUAGUUGGCGGGGUAAAGGCCCACCAAGGCGACGAUCCGUAGCUGGUCUGAGAGGAUGAUCAGCCACACUGGAACUGAGACACGGUCCAGACUCCUACGGGAGGCAGCAGUGGGGAAUAUUGGACAAUGGGCGCAAGCCUGAUCCAGCCAUACCGCGUGGGUGAAGAAGGCCUUCGGGUUGUAAAGCCCUUUUGUUGGGAAAGAAAAGCAGCAGGUUAAUACCCCGCUGUUCUGACGGUACCUAAAGAAUAAGCACCGGCUAACUUCGUG
rnacentral:rRNA from 1 species